rnacentral:rRNA from 1 species
CGCAGUUAACACAAUAAGUAAUCCACCUGGGGAGUACGACCGCAAGGUUGAAACUCAAAGGAAUUGACGGGGGCCCGCACAAGCAGUGGAGUAUGUGGUUUAAUUCGACGCAACGCGAAGAACCUUACCAAGUCUUGACAUCCUGCGACGAUGCUGGAAACAGUAUUUUCCUUCGGGACGCAGAGACAGGUGGUGCAUGGUUGUCGUCAGCUCGUGUCGUGAGAUGUUGGGUUAAGUCCCGCAACGAGCGCAACCCUUACUGUCAGUUACUACGCAAGAGGACUCUGUCAGGACUGCCGUUGACAAAACGGAGGAAGGUGGGGAUGACGUCAAAUCAUCAUGCCCUUUAUGACUUGGGCUACACACGUACUACAAUGGCGUUAAACAAAGAGAAGCAAGACCGCGAGGUGGAGCAAAACUCAGAAACAACGUCCCAGUUCGGACUGCAGGCUGCAACUCGCCUGCACGAAGUCGGAAUUGCUAGUAAUCGUGGAUCAGCAUGCCACGGUGAAU